rnacentral:misc_RNA from 1 species
AAAUGUUUUUCACUUGGAGAAUGCAUGAACCUGGAAAGCAAACUAAUAGCAAAAAGUAUGUCAAGUCUAGUAGCUGUGAGAUACAAAAGGCUACCAAUUAAACUUCUAUACAAGCUUUCAUCUAUUUUCUUGGAGUCAUCAUCCUUGCUUAGCUUCUCACUUGUUGUCAUAGGAGUAGAUACAGGUUUGCAGUCCUGCAUUUUGAAUUUUUUUAGCACAUCCAUGGCAUACUUCUUUUGACAUAUGAAGAUACCUGAACAUGAUUGCAUCA